GCUUCUCCUGUGCCUGUUCAGUUGCUCUCGCUAGAACUGUAUUAGUUUUAUUUUUUUGUGAAUCAGCGUGUUGGUCUUUUUCCCUCAUUCCAAUGUGUAGCCCUCCAUCAUGGUUGCAUGGCUUGGACUGAGGGCGGUCCUCGCUAGGAUGAGAUAGAGUGAGUCAAUGCCCCUCUCUUCAAUGUGCUGGAUUUAUUUUGCUCGGUAAUCAUAUCGCCCAGUGACAUUUGGUGGGCAAUGUGAAUCACUUCCAACAACUUCGUUGAAGUUAGCUCCGAUCAGUUCUCGUCGUGAUCCAACCCUUCAAGUGACUGGAAAAGAGAUGUUUCCUAUCACUGAGAUCAGAUUCAGUUCAUGCUCUCAUUGACCAUGACAAGCAAUGGAGCUUCGACAAGGGUGUUUGACUCUACUACCCGUGAACCCCAUCAGAUGGAGAUAUGUGGUUGUAGAGUCAUGCACCUCUGCCGAGGCUCCUGCUUUUUACUCCUUUUUUCCAACCUCAUGUUUCUAGGUUGUUAGUUGAUGGUCUAGACCAAUGUGAGAUCAACACUUGCUUCCCUUCGUACUAUUCACAAGUGAGAACUGUGUGCUUGUACGCAUGACUCACCGAUAGUCAUUGCAAAUCAGACAAGCCUCGUUCAGCAGGGUGCUUCAGCAAGGGUGCUUGAUUCUACUACCCGUCGACCCAUUAGAGGAGCGACGCGGUUGUAGAGUCACGCACCUCUGUUGAGCACCCUGCUCGGAGUAAAGAUAUGGCUAAAGUCCGUGUCCCGGGUAAGAAGUUGCGCAGAUGGUGAUCGAUUUUGGAUGUUCCAAAGUGGGAGCCAUGCUAGAAACAGCACGAGUCACAGUAAAGGUUCAUGGGCUUCACUGUCCGACGCACUCUGAUUGCCCUUCAUUUGUCGUGGCAUUGGGUUUUACAACUUCUGGUGCCAUCCCACUCUAACGCAAGCCCCAUGGGUGCACUUAUUCUUCAAAGUUCUGCUACCAGAGGUACAAUCAGAUGCACCAGAGAAGUUUCAUUGACGGAGAGAGAUGGAGAUAGGUGAAUCGAACGACGGCACGAGAUUGACCUCAACGUUGUCACUAGCAGACUAAGUUGGCGUUGAUUCUUAAGGCUGGAGGGCAAACAAUUGUGUACUCUCUUGUCCACUCUAGACAGAUGGGAAGUGUAGUGCGGAGGAUAUGAGCACUUGGGAUGAGUAUUUACAAACUCAAUAACUCCUUAACUAAAACAGAUUUUUUUUUUUUUUUUUUUUUUUUUUUUUCUCCUUUUUGUAUCUUCCUUUUCUACUGAAUCAUUGCAACACUCCAACGAAACUGGUUAGGUACAUAUCCAUGUAUCAAUUCAUAAGGAUUAAACCCGGGGUGGUAUUAUGAAAUUAGUCUAAUACUUCUAAUCGCAUUUGAUCCCCAACUCUAUAUUUGCAAUACAGACUUAUUCAUCACUUAUAUAUAUAUAUAUAUAUAUAUAUAGAGUUACAACUCAACGCACAUUGUCAGUUUUGAGCAUAUUAGCUACGAGCAUAGUGGACCUGCAAAGAACCCAGUUCAUAAAUCUGAAUUAGUGAAAAGACCUGGUCUUCUAGCAAUCCACAAUUAUAGUAAAAUAUUGUUUAGAGCAAGAUUACUGCCAGCAGUAGCAAAUUUCGAACUGGGGUUCAGAACAGUCUUGUACAAAUCUUUUGGUGCCCACACCUUUUGGGUUUGAUAUGACAUACUCACAA